rnacentral:rRNA from 1 species
CCUACGGGAGGCAGCAGUGAGGAAUAUUGGUCAAUGGUCGGGAGACUGAACCAGCCAAGCCGCGUGAGGGAUGAAGGUACAGAGUAUCGUAAACCUCUUUUGUCAGGGAACAAAGGCGGGUACGUGUCCCCGGAUGAGUGUACCUGAAGAACAAGCAUCGGCUAACUCCGUUCCAGCAGCCGCGGUAAUACGGAGGAUGCGAGCGUUAUCCGGCUUUAUUGGGGUUAAGGGGGGCGAAGGCGGUCUUUUAAGUCAGCGGUAAAAGCCCGGGGCUCAACCCCGGCCCGCCGUUGCAACUGGCAGUCUUGAGUUGGAGAGAAGUAUGCGGAAUGCGUGGUGUAGCGGUGAAAUGCAUAGAUAUCGCGAAGAACUACGAUUGCGAAGGCAGUAUGCCGGCUCGAAACUGACGCUGAGGCACGAAAGCGUGGGUAUCGAACAGGAUUAGAUACCCGGGUAGUC